rnacentral:rRNA from 1 species
GACGAACGCUGGCGGCGUGCUUAACACAUGCAAGUCGAACGGAAAGGCCCUGCUUUUGUGAGGUGCUCGAGUGGCGAACGGGUGAGUAACACGUGAGUAACCUGCCCUUGACUUUGGGAUAACUUCAGGAAACUGGGGCUAAUACCGGAUAGGAGCUCCUGCUGCAUGGUGGGGGUUGGAAAGUUUCGGCGGUUGGGGAUGGACCCGCGGCUUAUCAGCUUGUUGGUGGGGUAGUGGCUUACCAAGGCUUUGACGGGUAGCCGGCCUGAGAGGGUGACCGGCCACAUUGGGACUGAGAUACGGCCCAGACUCCUACGGGAGGCAGCAGUGGGGAAUAUUGCACAAUGGGCGGAAGCCUGAUGCAGCAACGCCGCGUGCGGGAUGACGGCCUUCGGGUUGUAAACCGCUUUCGCCUGUGACGAAGCGUGAGUGACGGUAAUGGGUAAAGAAGCACCGGCUAACUACGUG